UAAAGCAUAUGCAAAAGAGGUAAA
rnacentral:misc_RNA from 1 species